CAGUAGCCGCGGUAAUACGAAGGGUGCAAGCGUUAAUCGGAAUUACUGGGCGUAAAGCGUGCGUAGGUGGUGGUUUAAGUCCGUUGUGAAAGCCCUGGGCUCAACCUGGGAAUUGCAGUGGAUACUGGAUCACUAGAGUGUGGUAGAGGAUAGUGGAAUUUCCGGUGUAGCAGUGAAAUGCGUAGAGAUCGGAAGGAACAUCAGUGGCGAAGGCGACCACCUGGACUGAUACUGACACUGAGGUGCGAAAGCGUGGGGAGCAAACAGGAUUAGAUACCCCUGUAGUCCCUGUCUCUUAUAC
rnacentral:rRNA from 1 species